rnacentral:rRNA from 1 species
AACGAACGCUGGCGGCAUGCCUAACACAUGCGAGUCGAACGAGACCGUCGGGUCUAGGGGCGCACGGGUGCGUAACGCGGGGGAAGCUGCACUUAGGUUCGGAAUAACUCCCCGAAAGGGGUGCUAAUACCGGAUAAUGUCAUCGGACCAAGGAGCUAUCGCCUUUGGAUGGGCGCGGGUUGGAUUAGCUAGUUGGUAGAGUAAAAGCCGACCAAGGCGACGAUGCAGAGCUGGUCUGGGAGGAUGAUCCGCCACUCUGGGACUGCGACACGGCCCAGAAUCCGACGGAAGGCAGCAGUAGGGAAUAUUGGGGACUGGGCGCAAGCCUGGUCCAGCCAUGCCGCGUGAGUGGUGAUGGCCUUAGUGUUGUGAUGCCCUUUUAGCCGAGACGAUAGUGACAGUACCGGGUGAAGAAGCUCCGGCUAACUCCGUG